rnacentral:rRNA from 1 species
GUCUACGGCCAUGCCACCCUGAACAAGCCCGAUCCCAUCUGAUCUUGGAAGCUAAACAGAGUUGGGCCUGGUUAGUACUUGGAUGGGAGACCACCUAGGAAGACCAGGUGCUGUAGGAG